ACUGGAAGCAUUGGACCGCAACCCGCCCAUAGUCGAGCCCUGUCCUCACUAACCCUUCCAGAAGCUACCAACUCUAUCAGAAAGAAGAGAAAUCACUGACCCAUUAUCUCCUGCAAUCUCUGUGAAGUUUUAAGGGGGGAAAGAUGAGUAGCCGAUCGAGUCGCACUAUCUACGUCGGCAAUCUGCCUGGGGAUAUUCGUAUGAGAGAAAUUGAAGAUUUGUUCAUGAAGUACGGGCCCAUCGUCGACAUUGAUCUCAAAGUCCCGCCGAGACCACCAGGUUAUGCUUUUAUUGAGUUGCAGUUUGAAGAUGCUCGAGAUGCUGAUGAUGCAAUUUAUGGCCGGGAUGGGUACAACUUUGAUGGGUAUCGUUUACGGGUUGAACUAGCGCAUGGUGGACGAGGACACUCAUCGUCAAUGGAUCGAUACAGCAGCUACAGUCAUAGUAGCAGUAGCCGUGGAGCUUCCCGGCGCUCUGACUAUCGUGUACUGGUCACUGGAUUGCCUCCUUCUGCUUCAUGGCAGGAUCUGAAAGACCACAUGCGUCGAGCUGGAGAUGUCUGUUUCUCCCAAGUGUUCCGUGAUCGGGGUGGCAUGACGGGAAUUGUAGACUACACAAACUAUGACGAUAUGAGAUAUGCUGUCCGGAAACUUGAUGACUCUGAAUUCAAAAAUGCUUUUUCUCGGGCUUACAUACGGGUGAAGGAAUAUGAUUCUAGACGUAGCUAUUCCAGAAGCCCUAGUUAUGACAUGAGACGGAGCUACUCUAGAAGCCCCAGUCGUAGUCCAUAUAUGUCGAGAAGUCAAAGCCGCAGUCACAGCUAUAGCUAUGGUGGCCGAAUCAGAAGCAUAUCACCAGAGGCAAAAUAUUUGCACCGCUCUCCAUCAGUAUCUUAUCCAAGGUCUGUCUCACGUUCCCGCGCAAGGUUGCCUUCUUUCUUGCUAGAUCUGGCUUUUGCGGAGAUCUGGGGACUGGAUGUUAGGAACUUGAUGGGAUGUGGUGCUCAUGCCUGCAACUCUUAGUUGAGCUACCAAAAACCACAAAUCAGCGGUGCGGACACAUAAAGCUCAAAACUACCACAUUCACUAACUUGCGAUAAGGAUGAGUGGAUUUUCUCCUCCUUUCAUCUAGGAUUAGAUGUUCGAUGCUGGUAUUUUAAUUUCUUACUACAUUGGUUGUUUUAUAUUUCUAAGAUCUGCUGGAAAGAUCAUGGGAUGCUGGGUGUAGAGCAUCUGGGCUAAAGGUUUAUAAUUUUUACUGUUUUCUUCCCGUCUAAUUAUGAUCUCGGACAAGAUCUAGGUCUCCAGUUUCUUCUGCUCGUCCCAGGACUCUGAGCAGAUCCAAGUCAAGAUCCAGAAGCUUAUCCCAGUCGCUUUCACCUUCUGCAAGGU